AGAGUUUGAUCAUGGCUCAGAUUGAACGCUGGCGCAUGCUUUACACAUGCAAGUCGAACGGCAGCACGGGAGCAAUCCUGGUGGCGAGUGGCGAACGGGUGAGUAACACAUCGGAACGUGCCCAGUAAUGGGGGGAUAACCCGGCGAAAGCCGGACUAAUACCGCAUACGACCUACGGGUGAAAGCGGGGGAUCGCAAGACCUCGCGUUAUUGGAGCGGCCGAUGGCAGAUUAGCUAGUUGGUGGGGUAAAGGCCUACCAAGGCGACGAUCUGUAGCUGGUCUGAGAGGACGACCAGCCACACUGGGACUGAGACACGGCCCAGACUCCUACGGGAGGCAGCAGUGGGGAAUUUUGGACAAUGGGCGCAAGCCUGAUCCAGCCAUGCCGCGUGCGGGAAGAAGGCCUUCGGGUUGUAAACCGCUUUUGUCAGGGAAGAAACGCUCUGGGCUAAUACCCUGGAGUAAUGACGGUACCUGAAGAAUAAGCACCGGCUAACUACGUGCCAGCAGCCGCGGUAAUACGUAGGGUGCAAGCGUUAAUCGGAAUUACUGGGCGUAAAGCGUGCGCAGGCGGCUUUGCAAGACAGAUGUGAAAUCCCCGGGCUCAACCUGGGAACUGCAUUUGUGACUGCAUGGCUUGAGUGCGGCAGAGGGGGAUGGAAUUCCGCGUGUAGCAGUGAAAUGCGUAGAUAUGCGGAGGAACACCGAUGGCGAAGGCAAUCCCCUGGGCCUGCACUGACGCUCAUGCACGAAAGCGUGGGGAGCAAACAGGAUUAGAUACCCNNGUAGUCC
rnacentral:rRNA from 1 species